rnacentral:rRNA from 1 species
GAUCAUGGCUCAGGAUGAACGCUGGCGGCGUGCUUAACACAUGCAAGUCGAGCGAAGCAGUUUCAAUGAAGUUUUCGGAUGGAUUUGAGAUUGACUUAGCGGCGGACGGGUGAGUAACGCGUGGGUAACCUGCCUUACACUGGGGGAUAACAGUUAGAAAUGACUGCUAAUACCGCAUAAGCGCACAGGGCCGCAUGGUCCGGUGUGAAAAACUCCGGUGGUGUAAGAUGGACCCGCGU